rnacentral:tRNA from 1 species
GCCCAGCUGGCUCAGUUGGUAGAGCACGUGAUUCUUGAUCUUGGGGUUGUGAGUUUGAGACCCAUGUGGGGUG